UGCGUCUUCCUAGUUUAUAGUCUAGUCUGUGCUCUUAUGGUUGUGUGCAAAACAUGAACUGACUGUACCGCGAUAGUUGUUGUAUAUCGCGAGAGUUAAUACGCGUGUCUGUGGAACUUGCGGGUAGCCGACGUAUGGAAGGCGGUGCUUUUUCAUGACUCGUGUAACAAGUGUACCAGGAGGUCUUUCUUUACAGUUUUUGAAACACACAGUUCUAUAUAUUUUUUUCUUCAAAUAGUGAAGCUCCUAUUUUAAAACCACAUAAAUAGAUUAUCAGAUAAUAGAUUCAAGUAGAAAACGAGGGUCUGCGCACCCUCAAAGAGCCCAUCAUGAAGCUGACGGACAAUGUGCUGCGGAGCUUCAGGGUUGCAAAGGUUUUCCGAGAAAAUUCAGACAAAAUCAACUGUUUUGAUUUCAGCUCAAACGGCGAAACCAUUAUUUCUCGCAGCGACGAUGACUCCCUGGUUUUAUACGAUUGCCAGGAGGGAAAGUAAGACAUGCAUCGAAUUCAUAUUAAUCGACAGUUUUUUCCCCCGAGCUGCCUGUUAGGGUAGGCCGACCCCUGUGCUGUAACUAAGAUCUGCUCGGUUAGUACUAGUGAGGCCUACUGCGGUAUGCAAAUUCCCCGGGCUCGAGUGAAGACACGAUCGAGAGUUUGAGCGGAUGCAGGUCUGGGUUGUUAGCUUGACCCAGGCGGACCCUCUACAGUAAGAAGUAUGGAGUGGAUCUGAUCAGGUACACACAUGCAGCCAACAAGGUGGUCUACAGCUCCAACAAAAUUGAUGACACUAUCCGGUACCUCUCCCUCCAUGACAACAAGUACAUCCGGUACUUCCCCGGACACAACAAAAGGGCCUGAUGCACCUCCAGGGGAAGCCAGUUUGCUCCUUUGAUCCUGAGGGUCUGAUUUUUGCUGUGGGUGUGAACUCUGAGAUGGUCAAAUUGUACGACCUGCGAUCCUUUGACAAGGGUCCUUUUGCUACCUUCAAGUAUGACCGUACAUGUGAGUUGACAGAACUCAAGUUCAGCAAUGAUGGGAAGCUCAUCCUUGUCUCAACCAAUGGGGGUGCUCUCCGCCUCCUCAAUGCCUUCAAGGGCGCUGUGAUGCAUUCCUUUGGGGGCUACAACAACAGUAAAGCUGUGACGCUGGAGGCCUCCUUCACUCCUGACUCUCAGUUUAUUAUGAUCGUGAGGCUCUGAGGAUGGGAAGAUCCACAUGUGGAAUGCAGAGAGUGGGAUGAAGGUGGCUGUUCUGGAUGGGAAGAUCCACAUGUGGAAUGCAGAGAUUGGGAUGAAGGUGGCUGUUCUGGAUGGGAAGAUCCACAUGUGGAAUGCAGAGAUUGGGAUGAAGGUGGCUGUUCUGGAUGAGAAGAUCCACAUGUGGAAUGCAGAGAUUGGGAUGAAGGUGGCUGUUCUGGAUGGGAAGAUCCACAUGUGGAAUGCAGAGAUUGGGAUGAAGGUGGCUGUUCUGGAUGGGAAGAUCCACAUGUGGAAUGCAGAGAUUGGGAUGAAGGUAGCUGUUCUGGAUGGGAAGAUCCACAUGUGGAAUGCAGAGAGUGGGAUGAAGGUAGCUGUUCUGGAUGGGAAGAUCCACAUGUGGAAUGCAGAGAGUGGGAUGAAGGUGGCUGUUCUGGAUGGGAAGCACACGGGUCCCGUCACCUGCCUUCAGUUCAACCCCAAAUUCAUGACUUUCUAGUGCCUGUUCAAACAUGGUAAGAUUAGUUAUGUUGAAAACACACAAUCUCACAUACAGAAUGCUCAGUAAAUCUGUUUUGUCCUCUGCAGGCAUUCUGGCUCCACUCUAUUGAUGAUUGAUUGAGAGGGCGAGAAGCUAUGGAAGCCACAGGCAACGUGAGAUCCCAUUUAAAACCAGCAGGCGUCAGCACAUCCAGCUCUUUGUGUGUGUGUGUGUGUUGAUUGUAAAUAUGUAGAACUUCAGGAAUAUAAAUUGUCAGAUUUUUGUGUUCUUUUUAUACUUGUAACAUUAAAUGUUUUAUUUUUUAACAAGU